AAAAAUUUUUAAUAAAUUUAAAUUUAAAAAAAUGCGUAUCUUUUUCGUUUCUAUUUUCGGUGUCUGGCAUCCCAUGGAGCAGAUUUUUCAACAGGAAAUGCGUGCAUGAGACGCCAGGAAUUCAAAAAGAAACGGAAUGAGCAGACGACAUGCUGUGCAGCUGCGCACCCAGUGAACCAAGUAAUAUAGCAGCAAUGUAAUGGCAAUGUAACCAAAUAUAACAGGUUAUAUUACCAAAAUGUUACAUGUAAUUUACAUGUAAGUUACUUUUUCCGACUCAGCAAUAUAACAUGUUAUAUAACGUGUUAUCUAACCAUUACAUAACAAUUAAUGUAACUGUAAUAUAACAAAUAUGAUAGCUGUUAUAUUAAUGCAAUAUAAUAGUAGCUAUAUUUGUAAUGUUACAGUUAUAUUGAGGUAAUGAGCCUGUUACGAAAGUUGAAUAAAAAUAGAUGGAUUCAAAA